AUAUGGGGCAUUUUCGAGACAGAAGAUUGGGGAAAUUUUUGGACAAAUUUUCCGAUCUCUGUGGUUUCUUCGAGAUUUUGAGUCUAGUUCGUCGAAGUUGAAGUUCGUUUGUCAUUCGAGUUUCCGGUCGAAGUUCCUGUUCUUGUUUGCGAUUCACUUUAGUUCUUCGUCGCUGAAUUUUUUUUGUUCUCGCUUCUGUAGUUAAUUGAAAUUCUGAACAUCCAGGUUCAUUUCUGUCUCCCCUAUCGUGUUUGAUUUUAGUUAGAUUUGAUCUCCCUCCGCUACUUGUG
rnacentral:lncRNA from 1 species